CCAUAUUGUCCAAAGUCAAAACAUGCGGUUUUUGUGUUCGCGCAUCAAGUUGGGAAAAGGCCAAAAACAGAGAAACAUAGGAUACAGAGGGCUCGAUUUAUUUGUACAAAAUGACUUUGCAAAUGAGAUUCGGAUUCGGAUACACAUAGGCCUGAGCAAUGUGUCAAUAUUAUCAUGGGCCAGGGAUUCAGACGUCGUCCAGGCGGCCGCCUAUGCAAACAGCCGAACAGACCUACAAAAAUUGAGCCUCGGACUACCUGCUGGGACAUCGCGGCUCAGUGUCCAUGUCGUAGGUGUGCAUAUUUCUGUUAAUUUCCAACACCUUCGGCACUCGAAUAUGUCGGGCUCGCAACGUGACCUGUGGCCUCUGGGCUGGAUUUGCUUUAUGAAUGGGUGUCCACAACCUGCCAAUGGCCACAUGUACUCAUAAUCGAUGUGAUUAGGCCGUGCCGUGCCGUGGACGUGGACCAUCUCAUGCCUAACCCUUGGGGAACCAUAGACAAGACGAGAGCGCAAUCAAUAGUUCUCAAUCGAGCAGCACAGGGAAUUCGGUGACGUAUUUGGACAGCCACUGACAGAGCAAGCAGCAGGCCCAAAAGAAACAACCAAGUUCAGUUUGGGAAUUUCUUAGCUGGAUUCUAGAUGCUCUUCUCCAAAUGACCAAGAUAUGUUUCACUAAAAUCAUAGGGUGCUCUAGUAGCUUUAGCUGGAUUAAAGGAAAAGUUAUAUAUAGCAGAGUACAGCAUCGUCUUGGUCCAAAAAUAACUGCAUGACUUGGCGAUAAAUUAUUGUUGGGCAGCGCAAGCCCAAAGGCAAGAGUUAGAGAAGGAAAUGAGCUGCACUUAAAUGCAUGCGAGAAAACCACUCGAUAAGCCAACAAGUGGAUAAGAAGCCACCACACAAAUGAUGCCCAAACGAACUAUCAAUGUCAGUGAAUUGGCAAAAAAUGUAAACUCAAUUUGUAUGCAGGCCAGAGUCCGGUCCGAAUCGACGACAAGGAAACCCUUUACUUGACACACCUCAACAACCGAACGACGACGACCGACCAACCGCUCAAGUGCUCCACCACAUCCACAUCCAUGCUGCGUCUGCCUUUGCAUUAAUAGUACAUAUCUACUUAUGUAUGUGUGUGAGUGCAGUGCCGUGAUGAACACCCAGUCGGAUUGGGGUAAGCCGCUAAAGCAUGCGUAACAAUGGCCCCGGCACAUCGAUCGUUAAUGAUCGUUAAGGCAAAGAAGGACCACAGCGAUGAUCGGGCACAUUUCGAAUGCCCAAAGAGUUGGGGGCUCCAUUCAUUGAUCGUUUCAUGGCCCCAAAUGAAGUGCUCGACAGGAUAGGGAUCGUUCUCUUCGAUAUCGGUUUUCAUGAUUACUCUGUAUUAUUUUAUUUUUUUCGUACAUGUGUGUAUUCCUCCAUAUGCCCUUCAUCUUCAUCUUAAGCCUAAAUACAAUGCAAAGCGCUCACAUAAUUAGAAUCUGCAGCCAACAUUUUUGUUAAUCAAUAUAUCAAUAUACAGGGUGCG